AAAAAUUAGGAAGAAUUAGAAAAAAUGAGGAAAGAUUGAAAAUAAAUCUACGAUGGUGUAACUUCAGUUGCAUUUCAUAAAACACUUCCAGGACCAGAGGAAGAUGCGGUAAUUGACAAAUUAAUUGGACUGGGUGCACAUUUUGAUGGUCCCUCUCGUUUACCUUUGACGUGUUUGACUCCACGCGCAAAUGACGUUUGCAGAUAACCCCCCAGAUCAGAGAAAAUUAAGAGAAUUCAUCUAAUUUAUAAUCUCCAAUGCGUGACAUUCGGCAACAUGUACAAAAUGCAGCGUACUCUACUCUCCUCCUUGGAUCUCGAGACAUUUUUCAAAGGUUGUCUUGCUUGCUCAGAGCCCCACAGGUUACCUGCAUCUCGGAGGCAUCCAUACAGCUCUGUGCGACACGGUGCAGCUAUUCAUUGGCUCAGGCAAACUAAGGAAAUUCUAUUCUACGUUUAGAAGACACGGAUCAAACAGGACUCGCACUAGAUGCUACCGGUAAACUUCAAGAGGAUCUAUUUUGGGCUGAAAUCAUCCCAUACAAAGACCUGACAAGGAGUGGAUCUGUAGGCCCUUACUUUCAAUCAAAACGUAUGAAAUUAUACAAUGAGCUGGUUCAAGUUUUCCUGCAAAAUGCCUCGGCAUGGUUCUAGUUUGGUUUGGAUGAUAGACUGGGGCUCUUACGACAAGGAUCCUUGAAGCUUAGGCAAACACCGAAGCACGACAAGUGUAGACUCCUGAGCAAAGAGAAUCUGAAGAAUAAAUUAAGUCGACGAGAAUCUUACUCUGUCAGAUCUGAGAGGAUAACUGGGUUCAUAAUGUCGCCGUGUAUACAAAGUAUAAUUGUAGGCGCCACAGCAAAACGAGAGGGUUCUAGGCAAGGUGUUGUUGAAUAAUGGAUGCUCUAAUCAAACGAUCGUGGACUAACUUGGAGAAGAAAACUGUGGCGAUGAGGUUGUACUGGAGGAAAAAUUGCCACCUCUCCUUCAACUUGCAGAUUCCAUUCGCAAAGUCCUGAGAGGAGGAUGUUGAACUGAUUUCUGUACGCUACUUAUCCCGUAUCAUUCAUGUCUGGUGUGAAGAGCCUGGUUAGAGCAUUUCUUUAUCGGAAAUCGGAUCCCUGAUACAAAAUUGAAUUUUCGUUCAGAAAAAAAAGGUCCCGGCAUUCAUACCGUCAUUGAUACAUUGAACAUAUUGAACUAUGUUCAAUAUAUCUAUGAUACCGUGCAUCGAGAGAGAGGCGUAUGCAUAUUCCAGGAUCUCCUCGGGUUAUUCUCUACCCAUUUCUGCAUGCGAAUCUAUCCACUCGAAAACUACAUCAUUUGACACGAAGAUAUUUGCGACAACUUCGAACUAUUAUUAGAUCUAUGGUAUUUCCAAUUGAAAUGGUUUUACAGAAGAGCAACGACAUUGUAAUAUCUUCGUAGUUCGCAGUCGGUGUUCAAUUUUGUAAUCAGAUCCUUACUUCCUAGAUUAAAAUAUGAAGAAUC